rnacentral:rRNA from 1 species
AUUGAACGCUGGCGGCAGGCCUAACACAUGCAAGUCGAACGAGCGGCGGAAGGGUGAGUAAUGUAUGGGAAACUGCCUGAUGGCGGGGGAUAACUACUGGAAACGGUAGCUAAUACCGCAUACCAUCCGAUGAACCCAGAUGGGAUUAGCUUGUAGGUGGGGUAACGGCGCACCAAGGCGACGAUCCCUAGCUGGUCUGAGAGGAUGACCAGCCACACUGGACCUGAGACACGGCCCAGACUCCUACGGUAGGCAGCAGUGGGGAAUAUUGCACAAUGGGCGCAAUCCUGAUGCAGCCAUGCCGCGUGUAUGAAGAAGGCCUUCGGGUUGUAAAGUACUUUCAGCGGGGAGGCGUUACCCGCAGAAGAAGCACCGGCUAACUCCGUGCCAGCAGCCGCGGUAAUUC